GAUGAACGCUAGCGGCAGGCCUAACACAUGCAAGUCGAGGGGUAGAGGAAGCUUGCUUCCUUGAGACCGGCGCACGGGUGCGUAACGCGUAUGCAAUCUACCUUUUACAGAGGGAUAGCCCAGAGAAAUUUGGAUUAGUACCUCAUAGUAUCUUUGCCUGGCAUCGGGUGAUUAUUAAAGUUCCAACGGUAAAAGAUGAGCAUGCGUCCUAUUAGCUAGAUGGUAAGGUAACGGCUUACCAUGGCAACGAUAGGUAGGGGUCCUGAGAGGGAGGUCCCCCACACUGGUACUGAGACACGGACCAGACUCCUACGGGAGGCAGCAGUGAGGAAUAUUGGACAAUGGGCGCAAGCCUGAUCCAGCCAUGCCGCGUGCAGGAAGACGGUCCUAUGGAUUGUAAACUGCUUUUGUACGGGAAGAAACACUCCUACGUGUAGGAGCUUGACGGUACCGUAAGAAUAAGGAUCGGCUAACUCCGUGCCAGCCGCCGCAGUAAAAC
rnacentral:rRNA from 1 species